AGAGUUUGAUCCUGGCUCAGAAUAAACGUUGGCGGCGUGCUUAACACAUGCAAGUCGCGCGAGAAAGCUCCUUCGGGAGUGAGUAAAGCGGCGGACGGGUGCGUAACACGUAAGAAUUUGCCCUUCAGUGAAGGAUACCCACGAGAAAUUGUGGUUAAUACUGCAUACGUUCCUACGGGAAGAAAGGUGGCUUUAUGCUGCCGUUGAAGGAUAAGCUUGCGCGCUAUUAGCUUGUUGGUGAGGUAAAGGCUCACCAAGGCUAUGAUGGCUAGCCGGCCUGAGAGGGUGUACGGCCACAUUGGGACUGAGAUACGGCCCAGACUCCUACGGGAGGCAGCAGUGAGGAAUAUUGCGCAAUGGGCGAAAGCCUGACGCAGCGACGCCGCGUGGAGGAUGACGGUUUUCGGAUUGUAAACUCCUGUUAAGUGGGAAGAAAGCUCGGCCUCUAAUAUAGGUCGAGGAUGACGGUACCACUAGAGAAAGCACCGGCUAACUUCGUGCCAGCAGCCGCGGUAAUACGAGGGGUGCAAACGUUAUUCGGAUUUACUGGGCGUAAAGGGUGUGUAGACGGCGUACUAAGUUCGUUGUUAAAUCUUCCGGCUUAACCGGAAGCUCGCGAUGGAAACUGGUAUGCUUGAGGAUGGAAGAGAGAAGUGGAAUUCUCGGAGUACCGGU
rnacentral:rRNA from 1 species